rnacentral:rRNA from 1 species
GAUAAACGCUGGCGGCGCACAUAAGACAUGCAAGUCGAACGGACUUAACCAUUAGUUUACUAUUGGAGCGGUUAGUGGCGGACUGGUGAGUAACACGUAAGCAACCUGCCUAUCAGAGGGGAACAACAGUUAGAAAUGACUGCUAAUACCGCAUAUGCCUUGAGUACCACAUGGUACAAAAGGGAAAGGAGCAAUCCGCUGAUAGAUGGGCUUGCGUCUGAUUAGAUAGUUGGUGGGGUAACGGCCUACCAAGUCGACGAUCAGUAGCCGGACUGAGAGGUUGAACGGCCACAUUGGGACUGAGAUACGGCCCAG